GAUGAACGCUGGCGGCGUGCCUAAUACAUGCAAGUCGAGCGAACAGACGAGGAGCUUGCUCCUCUGACGUUAGCGGCGGACGGGUGAGUAAAACGUGGAUAACCUACCUAUAAGACUGGGAUAACUUCGGGAAACCGGAGCUAAUACCGGAUAAUAUAUUGAACCGCAUGGUUCAAUAGUGAAAGACGGUUUUGCUGUCACUUAUAGAUGGAUCCGCGCCGCAUUAGCUAGUUGGUAAGGUAACGGCUUACCAAGGCAACGAUGCGUAGCCGACCUGAGAGGAUGAUCAGCCACACUGGAACUGAGACACGGUCCAGACUCCUACGGGAGGCAGCAGUAGGGAAUCUUCCGCAAUGGGCGAAAGCCUGACGGAGCAACGCCGCGUGAGUGAUGAAGGUCUUCGGAUCGUAAAACUCUGUUAUUAGGGAAGAACAAAUGUGUAAGUAACUAUGCACGUCUUGACGGUACCUAAUCAGAAAGCCACGGCUAACUACGUG
rnacentral:rRNA from 1 species